GGCGCUGUAGUGUAGCGGUUAUCACUCGAGAUUCUGACGUGCCGUAGAUUCUCGUAACCCAGGUUCGAUUCCUGGCAGUGCCU